rnacentral:rRNA from 1 species
AUUGAACGCUGGCGGCAGGCUUAACACAUGCAAGUCGAGCGGGGUGAUGGUGCUUGCACUAUCACUUAGCGGCGGACGGGUGAGUAAUGCUUAGGAAUCUGCCUAUUAGUGGGGGACAACAUCUCGAAAGGGAUGCUACUACCGCAUACGUCCUACGGGAGAAAGCAGGGGAUCACUUGUGCCCUUGCGCUAAUAGAUGAGCCUAAGUCGGAUUAGCUAGUUGGUGGGGUAAAGGCCUACCAAGGCGACGAUCUGUAGCGGGGCUGAGAGGAUGAUCCGCCACACUGGGACUGAGACACGGCCCAGACUCCUACGGGAGGCAGCAGUGGGGAAUAUUGGACAAUGGGGGGAACCCUGAUCCAGCCAUGCCGCGUGUGUGAAGAAGGCCUUAUGGUUGUAAAGCACUUUAAGCGAGGAGGAGGCUCUUUUGGUUAAUACCCAAGAUGAGUGGACGUUACUCGCAGAAUAAGCACCGGCUAACUCUGUGCCAGCCGCCGCCGUAA